rnacentral:misc_RNA from 1 species
AUUCAACCAGAAAAAACCCGAACUCCGCUUACCUCCGCCGCAGAGUUUGCCGAUUUCCAUCUCCACAACCAUGGCGGAAAUUGAAGCCGAUGUGGCGACCGGACUGCCAAGGAAGAGGACGUUUAAGAAGUUUAGCUACAGAGGCGUUGAUCUCGAUUCUCUUCUCGACUUGAACAUGGACGAGCUCGUCAAGCUCUUCAAUGCACGUCCCCGUAGAAGGAUCGAGAGAGGUUUGAAG